rnacentral:tRNA from 1 species
GCCUGGGUGGCUCAGUCGGUUGAGCGGCUGACUUCGGCUCAGGUAUGACCUCGCACUCCGUGAGUUCGAGCCCCACGUCAGGCU